ACGGGUGAGUAAUGCAUAGGAAUCUGCCCGGUAGUGGGGGAUAACCUGGGGAAACCCAGGCUAAUACCGCAUACGUCCUACGGGAGAAAGGGGGCUCCGGCUCCCGCUAUUGGAUGAGCCUAUGUCGGAUUAGCUAGUUGGUGAGGUAAUGGCUCACCAAGGCGACGAUAUGUAGCUGGUCUGAGAGGAUGAUCAGCCACAUCGGGACUGAGACACGGCCCGAACUCCUACGGGAGGCAGCAGUGGGGCCAAUAUUGGACAAUGGGCGAAAGCCUGAUCCAGCCAUGCCGCGUGUGUGAAGAAGGCCCUCGGGUUAAAGCACUUUCAGCGAAAGGAAGAAUUCGCCUAGUGGUUAAUACCCACUAGGAAAGACAUCACUCGCAGAAGAAGCACCGGCUAACUCCGUGCCAGCAGCCGCGGUAAUACGGAGGGUGCAAGCGUUAAUCGGAAUUACUGGGCGUAAAGCGCGCCGCGUAGGUGGCUUGAUUUAAGCCGGUUGUGAAAGCCCCGGGCUCAACCUGGGAACGGCAUCCGGAACUGUCAAGCUAGAGUGCAGGAGAGGAAGGUAGAAUUCCCGGUGUAGCGGUGAAAUGCGUAGAGAUCGGGAGGAAUACCAGUGGCGAAGGCGGCCUUAAGCCGGUUGUGAAAGCCCCGGGCUCAACCUGGGAACGGCAUCCGGAACUGUCAAGCUUAGAGUGCAGGAGAGGAAGGUAGAAUUCCCGGUGUAGCGGUGAAAUGCGUAGAGAUCGGGAAAUACCAGUGGCGAAGGCGGCCUUCUGGACUGACACUGACACUGAGGUGCGAAAGCGUGGGUAGCAAACAGGAUUAGAUACCCUGGUAGUCCACGCCGUAAACGAUGUCGACCAGCCGUUGGGUGCCUAGCGCACUUUGUGGCGAAGUUAACGCGAUAAGUCGACCGCCUAGGAGUACGGCCGCAAGGUUAAAACUCAAAUGAAUUGACGGGGGCCCGCACAAGCGGUGGAGCAUGUGGUUUAAUUCGAUGCAACGCGAAGAACCUUACCUACUCUUGACAUCCUGCGAACUUGUGAGAGAUCACUUGGUGCCUUCGGGAACGCAGAGACAGGUGCUGCAUGGCUGUCGUCAGCUCGUGUUGUGAAAUGGUUGGGUUAAGUCCCGUAACGAGCGCAACCCUUGUCCUUAUUUGCCAGCGCGUAAUGGCGGGAACUCUAAGGAGACUGCCGGUGACAAACCGGAGGAAGGUGGGGACGACGUCAAGUCAUCAUGGCCCUUACGAGUAGGGCUACACACGUGCUACAAUGGCCGGUACAAAGGGUUGCGAGCUCGCGAGAGUCAGCUAAUCCCGAAAAGCCGGUCUCAGUCCGGAUCGGAGUCUGCAACUCGACUCCGUGAAGUCGGAAUCGCUAGUAAUCGUGAA
rnacentral:rRNA from 1 species